UACAGAGGGUGCGAGCGUUAAUCGGAAUUACUGGGCGUAAAGCGUGCGUAGACGGUUAUUUAAGUCGGAUGUGAAAGCCCCGGGCUCAACCUGGGAAUUGCAUUCGAGACUGAAUAGCUAGGGUGCGGUAGAGGGAAGCGGAAUUUCCGGUGUAGCGGUGAAAAUGCGUAGAUAUCGGAAGAACAUCAGUGGCGAAAGCGGCUUCCUGGACCAGCACCGACGUCAGGCACGAAAGCGUGGGGAGCAACAGGA
rnacentral:rRNA from 1 species